rnacentral:rRNA from 1 species
CCCUUAGAUGUCCUGGGCCGCACGCGCGUUACACUGAUGCAUUCAACGAGCUUAUAACCUUGGCCGAGAGGCCUGGGCAAUCUUGUUAACGUGCAUCGUGAUAGAGAUAGAUUAUUGAAAUUAUUAAUCUUGAACGAGGAAUUCCUAGUAAACGCAGAUCAUCAAUCUGCAUUGAUUACGUCCCUGCCCUUUGUACACACCGCCCGUCGCACCUACCGAUUGAAUGGUCCGGUGAAAUCUUCGGAUUGAGACUUUGAUUUCUUCACGGAAAACGCUGUUUUAAAAAGUUGAUUAAACCUUACCAUUUAGAGGAAGGUGAAGUCGUAACA